rnacentral:misc_RNA from 1 species
AAAAAAAAUGAACUUGAUAUUUAUCUUGGGAGUAUGAACAUAUUUUUAUUGUCACCACAGAAUACUGUAAUCCAAUGAUUUGACACUUUUGCUAAUUAAUAGCCAAUAUCAAUCUGAACCUAUCCUAGCUAUGAGGUCUGGGUCCACGCUAGGCUCAGAUAGAGUUGAAAAACGAGGUUGUGAGGAGAAAUGCCAAUGCGGAUUUUUAGAAUAUUGAGAAAUUUAAGAAUGGCUAUGGAAUAAACUUUCAAAAUUAAGGUGUUCUUGUAAUCUUUUCAAAAUUAAGGUUAUAUACUAUAUAGAGCACAAUAACGUUGUGGAUGAUGGAAACUAAAGCUAUAUCUGAUGGGUGAAAUUAUCAAAGUCCAAAAGCCAUAAUUGAAAAAUAAAUGUUGUGUGUCUAUUUGCAUGUCCAAAUGAUGUGUAAUAUAGAUUGCAAUACUCUUGCUAUCAAAUUUGUAUGAGAAUCACCUUUUCUGAUUCGCUAUGUAAUCAUUAAUUAUUAGAUAAUAUAUUUCAUUCUCCAAUGUAUAUAUUUGCUAGUUUUAUAUGUAUGUAAGGUCACAAUAAUUUGUAUAAAAUCUACAAAUUCGAUUUUCUUCUCAAUUCUUGAUUAAUAAAAUUAUGAUUUUGAUUCUAAAUUUGACAACUUAGGAAUUAAACAGAUUCAAACAAAUCAUGAUGUAAAAAUAACUAUUAGACAGGAAAGAUUGGGAUCCAAAAAAAAAUCAUAGAUACCGCUUUUUCUAUGCUUGAGAAAUGCUGCAUCCUAUUUGAUAAGAUUUUCUGCAUGUGAACCAAAGAAGCCAUAGCCGUUCCCUCCACAACAUCCACAACAACCAACCCAGCCAAGCUACAUAAUGCUUUCUUAGCGGCAACAUGCACAGCUACUGAGCCCCCCAUGCUGUGACCAACAAGCACAAUUGCAGGAGGAGAAUCUCCAUACAUUUCCUUCAAUAUAGCCAAAACAUCAUUGGACAAGGUCUCAAUGGAUAGAUCAAGGUCAUUUUCAGUGGAUGUUUUCCCGUGUCCUCUCAAGUCAAUGGCAACUACCCGUGCUUUCUCCUUAAUUUUACUUGCUGACAGUGCAAAUGAAAGCCCAGAAUAGCCACCCCCAUGAAGACAAAAACAACAGGUCCUUCUUUUCCUGCCAUAUACACAUGAAAUACCUAUAAUGAUAAAAGAACAUUAGAAAGGAAAGCAAUAACAUAUGAUUAAAAUAAAAAAUAAAAAAAAAGAGGGGGAAAAAGAAAACUUUCCCUUAAAACAUCAAGCCAACACUAACAUCAUUUGAAUUUGGAAUGCAAAAAUCUUCCUCUCGGUCGAAGUACUUCGUCCAGUCUAAAGGAGAGUACUUCCAUAGGAAGUGAGUAGCAGGAGGCCGAUGAGGAACAAAAGCAAAAGCAGAGACCGAUGGCUUUUGAGUUUCUUUAUCUUUUCCUCCUUCAUGUUUCUCGUCUUCUUGGCCCUCUUCAGGCAGUGAAGUCAGAUUUUUCGACGACUCCAUUUCUCUUUCGAUACAAUGCUCCAAAUCCUUGAGCAAGUGUAACAACGGAUCAAUGAAAGGG